GGUUUGGGUGUUACAAAGUGGUAUCAGAGCCCCGUUGUCCUCGGACUGUGUGGUUAUGUGUCAAUCAGAGUAGGUCUGUGCAAUCAGACCGAGUGAGCGUAGUGUCAGUCAUGUUUGUGUAAUUGUUUUCUUGUGAUUUAAUUUUUGUAGUUACACUUGCACAUUAGUCACUAUUUAACUAUCUUGCAAAAUGCGUAAUUUGUUUCAUGAAUUUCAUUGUUAGUUAACAUGUUGCUUUACUUGAUUCUUGAAACUUGUGUCUUAAUUGGUGUUGACUUUAGAAUUUAUAAUUCUGACUUGAAGAUUGAAUAUUAAAAAGAUAGUUUAAAUGUUAAUUUGUUAAUACUCGAUUGAAAUAUGAUGUUUUGUUUUGAUUGCUUGUGUAUGAGAUUUUUUGUCUUCUUUGAGUUGGUUUGUGAUUAGAUUAAAUGUGAAGAUAGUAAUUGUUUUUCUAUUAACUAGAAAAUGUGUAGGAUGAAUUGAAAUUUCUUUUAUGCUACAUAUAUUCAAAUAUAACGUGCAUAUGUUAAUAAAAUUAAUAGUUUAAAUUAACUAAUUGUGGUAGAGUUUAUGUGAAUUCUUAUGUAUGUUCACAUGUGUAUAGUUCUUUAUAACAUGAGAUAAUUUUGAGAUUAGUAUUAAUUUUUGAUUAUGUGAACCUUGUUAGAAAUCUAAUUAUUUUCUUUUGAGUAAGUGAAACAUAAUUUUAUAAAGAAGUAAGAAGAGUAAAAUAACUAAUGGUGAAGUUAAGUGGAUUCUAUGAUAUAUUUAGCAUAUGUUUUAUUUUAUAUAUGACAUGUGCUAAAUUAUUCAAAUGAAAGUUGAUUUGCCCUUUUUGUUAUCUGUGAGUUAUAGGGAGUAACUACAACAUUUUCUUUAAGAAUGUAUUUGGUAAAUGUGAUGUACAAGUUUGACUAUUUUAUUUUACCAUGUUAAUUAUCAUGAUAAGCUAAUUAUUUUUGUACGAUAUGCUUAUAAGUUAUAUGAAUGAGAAUUGUUGAGCCAUUUAUAAUUCGUUGUUUAUGAUAUAUUCAUGUUUCUUGACAUGAUUUGAAUUCUUAAUUUUGAAAUUAGGAGAAGAUAUAUAUUACCUGAAUGUUUGUAUGAUCUAGUGUAGAUGUUUAAGCAUUGUGUUUUACCCCUUGUAUGCGACAUGCUUGUAACAAUGUCGAUACUCGUUCCUUUUGAGAAACUAAGUUAGAAAGUGAUAGGAGUCUGCGACUAGACGUGAGAAUCCGGAGUUCCAGUAGAAGAGUGUAGGUGGGUUUAAGAUAAGUGGGGGAGAAAGUUAUACCCCUACGAGAUGUUUCGAGCAUGAGAAGUCAGGAUAAGUAGAGAUGUCGUCGAAAGAGAGUGCUCAAGCGUUAGUGAUGUUGGGUGCAUCAUAUUUUUUUUUUUUCAUAGUGAAGGGAGGCGUCAUGUGGUUAAAAUAUGUGAUUCGGCGCAGUUAAGAGAGCAUUUUAGCAGUUUGGUAAAGAUGGUUUAUGCCACCAUCAUGAUUGUCGGCUACUUAUUGACAAAUUGAGGAACUGGCCGUCCUUAAUCUCUUGUUGAUAGUAGACAGAAUCGUGUUGACCGCAAUAAACUAGUUUUGUCAAACUUUGUAGUGCUUGGAGUUUUUGGUAUUUAUGUUUGGAGAAUAGGAUGGAGGAGUAGUAUUUGAAUUUGUUUCACUUAGAUAAUUUUCGAGGGCGAAAAUUCUUUUAAGUGGGGGAGAGUUGUAACGCCCGUUUUAUUUUUUUAUUUAAAAAAAAAAAUAGUUAUUUGUUUGUUUAUUAGUAUUUAUUUAAUUAUUUGUGUUUAUUUAUGUGAUUAUUAUUUAUUUAAUUAUGUGGCGUGUAACUUUCGUAUUUGGAAUAUUUAUCGGUUUUGGUUAAGUCGGUUAAUUAAAUAGAAUCAAGUGUUAUUUAGAUUUUAUAUGAGUUGGGCUUUGUGUGGGAAAGAUAGAAUAGUCCAUUGAAAUUUGGGGUGUAAAUAGGAAUAGUGUAGAGAAUAGAAACCUAGUUGAUAUAUUGGUAUAAAUAGAAUAUAGAACUCACUUCUUUUAUUUUGUAAACCGCCCUAGCUAUUCAUGUUGAGCCUUCAUUCACUUUUAGUCGGAACCAUAUAUACACAGUGGAAAUCAUGAUAUUAAAAUACCAAUUCACCCAGAUGGAAGAUUAGUGGAGCACUCACGUUUCAUAUCUUGGUUACUCCAUCAAAUUGUUUUCCCUUAGUCCUUAUUAAUUAGCCUUAUCAACCCACACCCAUUGAAACUAGUGAGACAUCCUUAUCCUUAUAAUCAUAAAAUUACCAUUUCAACAUUUUGUGAAAGAAAAGAGGAGGGUUUUAAAGAGACAAGAAUAAGAGGAGGCGAGAAGAAGAAAAGAGAAAAGAACAAGCCAAGUAGUAGAGAAACCAAGUGAAGGAGUAAAUUUCAACAAAUCUAAGGUUCUCAGGUUGUAUGUUUGUCGGUGUUCGAGUUGUUAGCGAAAGCUCCGCUCUGGUUGUGACACGGGGAAGGGUUUAUCGAGUCUUGUACUUGUAUUCUUAUUUUAUUGUAAAUGUAUUAUUUUAGAAAACAAUUUUUAUUAAGUGAGGUUUAUGCUAAUUAGCAAUGUUCUUGAAGUAUGUAAUACCUUAAACCACUAUUUUAUAUUUUAUAUUCGACUUCGAGUCGUUUUAAUUUUA